GACAUGUUUACACCUUAUACCUUUUGUUGCUAUGAGACUAUUGCUUAUCUAUCUAGGUCACUUUAUGUUUUUUUUUCACAAGUUGAAGCCUAACCUGAGCGGGAAAAGGAGAACAGAGUACAUGUUCUGAAACUAAGCGAAAAGUACCAACAGUUGAAUUGCAGAUCCGCCCAGUUUCUGCUGGUACAUAAAUCAAAGAGAAAGAGAAGAAAUCCCAGAAAGGUGAGGAGGGUCAAAGUUCCCUAACUCACUUGACGUUAUCGUCUGGUGAAGUUCCUUCCUCUUUGGUUUUUUUAUCAGCAGAUAAAGCAUGACUGGAAAGAUGUAGAUUAGCAGGGAGUAGUCUUAAAACAACACCUUGAUUUUAGUUUACAGAAGUCACAGGUAUGAAACGGUGUCAUAUGUUCAUCAAUUUAAGUCAGCCCUGGUAUGUGAUUUCACCAGCAGCAGGGCAUCUGCCCCUGAGGCCAGUGAUUUCCCCUCUAAGCCAUUCUUCCUUCCCAGCUCUUCCUUCCAGUGAAAUACUUUUCAUAGCAAAGCCUGUUUGCGGUGCAGUGACCUAACGCCCCCAGCACCCUCCCUGCUCCACACACGCACACACACACGCACACACAGAGGCUUCUGUCUUCACUCAAACCAGGAUAUGGCCUCCUGCACACGCUCAUAGUCUUAUGACAGGGUGUGACUUCGGCUGACUGGACGUAUGACUCGCUGAAGAAACGUGUUUGUGAGAAAAUGGUGGAACUGGACAGAUCUCAUAUUGGCGUUUCUCUUGCUGGGCUGACGUCGUGUCUUUGCAAUUUGUUGUGGCAACAAACAGCUCAGACUUGAUAUCUCUGACCUCCAAGACUCACAGGCGCAAAAACAUGAAGCACUCAAAAUAUAUUUGUCCUUCUGAAACAUCUCCAUAUUUUUCCACUAAGGCUGCAGACGUCGUCGUAUUCUUAGCAGAAUUUUUAAGAGAGACCAAUCUAAGUCUGGGGGACGACAUGGUUGAACAACGUAUCAUGAUGCAAGCAUUUCAUAUCAGUUGAUGUCGGUAAUUAUUGAUUAUUGAUUUUUCACUCACUUUUUCUUUUUUUUUUUUUUUCAAUCAGUUAUGAGGCCUGGGGGCAAAACCUGAAACUGGGGCUGCACCAGCUGAUUGUUGCUAGGUUACCAUAAGUUAUUCUACAAGUUGUUGCUAGGUAACCAAAGAGUGAGUGAGUUAGUUGAUGCCACCAACUUGGCUUAGCCGGCUGUUAGAGGUUGAGUGGUUAAAACUUUUUCCCUGCCUACAUCCCCCAGAAUGCUUUGUGGUUCCGGAUCAGUUCAGUGAAAUUAUUGAAUGCUCUGUUCUCAGAUGCUCACAGUUUAAUCUGUCCUAAGGAUUGAACACAAAUGACACUGACUAGAUUUGCACACAAAUAAUAUUGCAGCUACAGUGAAAUUCAGAUUUACUAUGUUUUUUUUUCCUAUUGGCUAAUUACAAAUACACGCCACACUUUUCAUAUUCUUCCGUCCAAAACACUUCCUUACUACUCGUGUCGGUUCGUUUCAAGAAUGUCUAAUGAAAGUGCCGUUGUAGCGUGAUCUGAUAAAGACUGUACAACUCUGGUACAGAGCUGGCUUGGCAAACACCUGGCUUGAGAAGGAAGCAACAAUAAAGGGAGCUUGAAUUAUCUUUACUGCACCUGUAGUUCAAACAUUUAUGCUCUUCAACGCACCGACGGUGCACUGCAUGAAUUACAGUUGAGCUUUGUUAUCUGGACUCGUGGCCCCUCCCUGCCGUUUGCAGCUUUAUUGAACCCUUUAUCUAAUCAACCGUCUCUGGACCUUGAGAGUAAGACCCAACUCGGCUCUGCGCAGCAUUCCUCUGAAACACAGAGGAGGCGGAGGGGGGUUGGUCGACGCUGAAACCAGGAAGAUGAGAAGGGUUGGGCGGGCUUCUGAAGAAGGUGGUAGUUUGAGCAAUUUACCGAUGCUAAUGAGGAAAAGGGGAAGCGAGUUUGACUUUGGCUUCGAUGGAGGGAGAUAAGAGUGGAGUUUGGUCAUUGGGGUGGGCAGAGAGGAAAGGAGAAAUUACCUAGGAAGUUUGGCAUAAAGAGAGACGGAGUGAGAGGGGAAAGCUCACGGGAAAGGAGCAGGAGGGAACAGGAAAAACUAGACAAAACACGAGACAGUGUGGAUCAGAGAAGAGAAAAUGGUCUGAUUUGAUGUGUGGUUAGAUCCUGGUUUCUGUCUGCUGAGGUGUAGAAAGAGUUUGUUUUGAGAUUUGUUCACCAUCUGCUGUGCUGCUCCAGCUCAUUUACAAAAAGCUAAGGUCAGGUCUGCUUUAUGCAAAUCCUGACCAAGAACUGCCACAAGCUUCGUGUGGUCUGAGCUGAACAGGUUCUGGGAAAAUUUUUUUUUUUUUUUUUUUAAAAACACCAGGAAGGGAACAGAAAGGUCCUGUUCCCUUCACACACAAAAAAAGUUCUGUUCCCUUCCUGGAUGAAAAAGGAAGGUAAAAAAAAAAAAAAAAAGGAGGGAUAAACUGUUUGUUUUAGCUGCAGCGCUGCAUUAAGAGACUGCUGGCAGCAGAUUUCCACGCAGCAGUGAAAGAACUGCAAACUCACACACACCCACAGUCACACACACAAAGCGUGGUGAUGCAGCAGUAGUUAGUGAUGCUAUCAGCAGUCUUGUUUCCACACAGUGUUAUAAGGAUCCUGGCUUAAAAUAAACCAAAUAUAAUCAGACGGUUGAGGUAUAUACGAUGUAAUCUACCUAUAGCUCAUCUGGUACAAGGAUAAACAAACUCGGGUCAAAAGCAGGCAUCCAAAGUCCUACUCUGGUUCCCUGAGACGACCCAGACACGUCCACCAGCUGUACACACUCACACACACAUCCGCCAAAAGGAUCGAAAGCGCACUGACCUGCAGUAGAAACAACUUUGAAAUGCCUCCUUUCCAUUAUACGGUUGAGUAGAACCAUGUUUUUUUUUCUUUUUUUUUCUUUCCUUCUUCUGUAUUCAGCGGCACUUUGCCUAGCAUUUCCACACAGAUACUGGUUAUUCAAUACAGUAAAGUCGACUUGCUUUUGGCCUCAAGACAGCAGCUUUAUUCAGCCAGAAGGACGUGUAGCAAAUAGUUUGAAGGUCACAGCCAGUUGAAAAAAAAUAUCUGGCAUUUAGAAGGGAAGAAUGUCAAAGAAUAACACAACUUAUAAAUAACACUGCAAAUAUUCAUACUUUCACAACUUCUCCACAUGUUACUGUACAUGUGGAGAAGUUUAAUAUAUUUUACUUUUUUUUAAGAUUGCUCUAUAGUUAGCUCUUUCCACGUAAGCAAAAGUCUUCCCUCACCAUGAUGCUGCCACCACCAUGUUUUACGCACAGUGCAGCUCAUGUAACAGUUUGCAUAUAGGGUAAAACGUUUAAUUUUGGUUUAAUGAGCAGAGUACCUUCCUCCACAUAUUAGCUGCGUCUCCUGCACGACAAACUGCAAAUGGCUUUAUGCUUGUUAAUUAAUUUUACAGAUAAAGUGACAUACUUUCUGCAAGCAUUUGAACUGUGGCAUGUGUAAAUUAGAGCACAAACAUAUUUCCUCAUGUGAAAAAAGGAAUUCUUUCUAAGACUUCUUUAAAAUAACAUUGUUAUUUAUAUUUACAAGAGAUAACUGUCUUCAUCAUGAUGCUUCGAUGGUGUGGAAAUUAAACUCUUUUCCUGAUUUCCAAAUUAGCCUGUUUUUGUCUUUCUGGCUGCUGCAGUAUUGAUUUUUUUUUUUUUUCCCUUCCCAGUGGCCUUCGUGUCUCUUUUUCCUCCUCUCUCCGUUUCUUCCCUCUCAUUCGUCUCAGGAAUGCCUAGAAUGUGCUUAUCGGUGCCCAUGCAAACACAAGUGUGAGCCGGCAGGAGAGGUCGAGUUUCUCUGCAGAACCCAGUCAGACUCACUGCAGCACAAACUGGCAUCCAGUCAGCCUGAAACCAGAACCAGAUCCUCAUUCUUCCUGUAAAGUCCCCUAAAAGGACCGGCUGUGCCAGUGUUUGGCCAAAUAUGAGUAAAACGGGAAACAAAUCAUAGCUUGGGCUAAUUUAACUAGUGGUGAGGAUACCGUGGGAGCUUUAGUUGUUGUUGUUGUUUUUUUUUUACUAUUAUUAUUUGUUCACUUGCUAAAAUAUGGUAAGUAAAGUUAAUAGCUCGGUAAACACUUUUAUUAUAAAGAUCUGAAGAAAGUCUUAUCGGAUCUGUCCAGCAUAUCUAAGCGUUUGUCCACUUUUAUUGAAUUCUACAAAGUCUGCUUCAUUUGAAGUCAAACUCUGAUGAAGACCAGAAAAGCACAUUUUGGUUCGCCUGAAAGCUUAGGUGAGGUGAACUCUUCGGAUACAUAGGUGAAGGUGAAUGCCAUGUGGACCAGAGAACCCUCCAAACCCUGGAAGCGAACUGUAGUGCAUUGCUUUCUGGGAAAAUACAACCAGAACAAACGUGUCUGGUUCUAGAGUCGUGUGCAAGUGGGAGGAAUGACUCGUUUUCUUUCACUAAGACAAAAGAAACAUCCAGAACCACUGAAAUUUGAUGCCAUUCCAUUCUUGUUUACUUUUCGUGAAGAAGGAAGUGCACAAGACACAAAGGUUUUUGUUUGCACGUUUUUGUAAAAAAAAAAAAAAAAAAAAACUGGCAAAAAAGCAUUUCUUACCUUCUUCACACUCUGAAAAAUGUAACAUCAGCUGUGAACAGAUGUUACGCUUAUGCUGUGAAACUUUACAGCCUCCAUGAUCACACUCCUAAAAGACAAGUAAAGGACAAAUGGAUCAGCCCAGACUUCUUACAUUUUUAAGUUUAAAGCUGUUGUUUGUUUAUUAAUCACCUUCACACAUGUUCUGUAAGACUGGGCUCUGGGUUAAAGCUGGUGACAUUAUAAGAUUUGAGGUAAAUCACUUCAGGUGCUACACAAACACAGGAGAAAAACAGUUUAGAGGGUCACACAACCCGUUUACCAAGAUGAUCAGUAAACACAUUUGGGAUUAUAUAAACUAUAAAAUAAAAGCAAUUUCUCUUAAAAAGAGAUUUUUAAAUUCAUAGCCUUUUCGUGCAUAAAUUAUUCUCCAGUCGUCGGACUUUGCAUCUUUAAACAGCCACACAGAAAUGCAUCCAGACACGGUUUAUUGUGUGUUCCUCUUGUCCAGACGGCCUGCCUCUAGACGCACACUAGUAGCCAUUGAUGCCUCCGCACAAAGCAUCCUCACAGGCAAACACAUGCGACCACAAUACAGCCACUACCAUACGCCCUGCUUCACGUACGCCUGUGCAUAAAAUCAGUCUGACAAGGAGCAGACAAAAGGCCGGACUGUUGGCGUCCAUGAAGGCCCCCGAUACGCUCGCAGCGUUCACCCCGGCAGGUCUAAAUGGAUUUCCUCGCAUCGCCGCAGAGGACAAUGAGUCUUGUUUGGACUCAUGCAUAUACACACACAGCUGAUUCUCAGGUUAUAGUGAGAAUCCUUUGUCUUUUAAGAAACAUCAGACGACACUUGUGUCCUACAGUGGGACUUGAACUGAAGAGAUUUCCCUCUUCUCUCUCUCUCUCUCUCUCUCUCGUUUUGUUCUCGACGCGGCGCAGGCUCACGCUGUUCUCACCUUCCCCGUCUGGUUCUGUGUGUUAAUUUACAGCAGGAAGGCGACACACGGACUCUGAGUAAUGAUUAACAUCAGCCUUUCCUCUGUGGCUUCAGUCACCAGGGUUAUGAUGGAGACAAAAAAAAAAGAAUCUAACUCUGCUGUCUUUUAUGGCUAAAUAUCACCGAUCGCUGCUUUCAUUUGUGUUUUAUGGUGUCGUUUCACAAGUCGGCUUUGUCCAGCUUUGGAUCUGGAACAGGUCUGAUCUGUGUAGAUCUGUUUGUUUUUAUGGCAUAUUUAUGCUAAAUGGAUCUUUACAAUGACUCUUAAGUCCAAGUGUACUUUCUAUACUAAAUAUUGCGUUACUGUUGAAAGGUUCCCAGACAAUUUGCCACCAUUUAUGCUAAAUAUCCACCUUAAGGUUCAAACGAAGUAGAAACAGAUUAACAGAGAUUAGAGCAUAAAAUAAAAAAGCACCCUGAUAUCUACGAUCAAGUUGCUGAAGUUGGAAGCUACCUCUGAAUAAACUGGCCGAUUAUUUUAUUAUUGAAUCAGCUCUGGCUGUUUUUCUUCUCGGGUUUUAUAGAGAAAAGGUUUCAGCUCCACAUUUAUGUCCUUGUGUUAAAACACACAAUGGUUCAUUGUGAGGUUAUGCUGUUACAUCCUAUUUCCUUCUUCACAUCUGCUGUGUGAGAGCUCCUCUAACAAUGACUAACAGGAUACUGUGGCUCCUCUAUGUGAGAGCAGCAAAGCCAGCCUUACAGGUGCAAAGUUCGUCAUUAUGCCAGUUUCCUUUGCAUUCAUGAUGCAGCAGACAUGAAACUUUUUU